CCAUCGAUUCUCGAUUUUUGAUUGAAUUACGAUAAGUGUGACGUAGUAUCACCGUUGCAAUUAAUAUCUUCCCGCACCGAACGACCUUAAUUUAUCCAAUGUGAAGGGUAACCUGGACUAAGUAAUCAGAUGGACCGGUUCCAUCUUGACCUUUCGAUAUUUCGGACUUAGAAAAAAAAUAAUAAAUAAAUAUAAUAUAAUAUAAUAAAAAAAAA
rnacentral:lncRNA from 1 species